UACAGAGGGUGCGAGCGUUAAUCGGAAUUACUGGGCGUAAAGCGCACGUAGUCGGCUUUGCAAGUCGGGUGUGAAAUCCCCGGGCUCAACCUGGGAACUGCAUCCGAGACUGCAUUGCUAGAGUAUGGGAGAGGGAAGCGGAAUUUCUGGUGUAGCAGUGAAAUGCGUAGAUAUCAGAAGGAACAUCAGUGGCGAAGGCGGCUUCCUGGGCCAAUACUGACGAUCAGGUGCGAAAGCGUGGGGAGCAAACAGG
rnacentral:rRNA from 1 species